CACACUAUCGUUAACUGAAUACAUAGGUUAACGAGGCGAACCGGGGGAACUGAAACAUCUAAGUACCCCGAGGAAAAGAAAUCAACCGAGAUUCCCCCAGUAGCGGCGAGCGAACGGGGAGCAGCCCGGAGUCUGAAUCAGCUUGUGUGUUAGUGGAACGGUCUGGAAAGUCCGACGGUACAGGGUGAUAGUCCCGUACACGAAAAUGCACAGGUUGUGAACUCGAAGAGUAGGGCGGGACACGUGGUAUCCUGUCUGAAUAUGGGGGGACCAUCCUCCAAGGCUAAAUACUCCUGACUGACCGAUAGUGAACCAGUACCGUGAGGGAAAGGCGAAAAGAACCCCGGCGAGGGGAGUGAAAAAGAACCUGAAACCGUGUACGUACAAGCAGUGGGAGCCUCUUUUAUGGGGUGACUGCGUACCUUUUGUAUAAUGGGUCAGCGACUUAUAUUCUGUAGCAAGGUUAACCGUAUAGGGGAGCCGAAGGGAAACCGAGUCUUAACUGGGCGUUAAGUUGCAGGGUAUAGACCCGAAACCCGGUGAUCUAGCCAUGGGCAGGUUGAAGGUUGGGUAACACUAACUGGAGGACCGAACCGACUAAUGUUGAAAAAUUAGCGGAUGACCUGUGGCUGGGGGUGAAAGGCCAAUCAAACCGGGAGAUAGCUGGUUCUCCCCGAAAGCUAUUUAGGUAGCGCCUCGUGAACUCAUCUUCGGGGGUAGAGCACUGUUUCGGCUAGGGGGCCAUCCCGGCUUACCAACCCGAUGCAAACUACGAAUACCGAAGAAUGUUAUCACGGGAGACACACGGCGGGUGCUAACGUCCGUCGUGAAGAGGGAAACAACCCAGACCGCCAGCUAAGGUCCCAAAGUCAUGGUUAAGUGGGAAACGAUGUGGGAAGGCACAGACAGCCAGGAUGUUGGCUUAGAAGCAGCCAUCAUUUAAAGAAAGCGUAAUAGCUCACUGGUCGAGUCGGCCUGCGCGGAAGAUGUAACGGGGCUAAACCAUGCACCGAAGCUGCGGCAGCGAC
rnacentral:rRNA from 1 species